CGUCCGUGCAGUCUCCUUCCCAAUCCCAUCGCAGCAUCGCCGCUACCGCACAACCGACGCCUGGUACAACGAGCGCGAUCCGAUCUAGAGCCCCCCUACUGGCGUCGGUCUUCCUCACCUCUGCCUCACUGGCUUAUCUCUCCUUUCCAUCUUUAAUCUAUUGCUUAAUCCAUGCUGUAGUUUCAAUCUACAAGGAGGCCACAAUCCAUCCAGCCUCUCUAUUUGAUCCCCUUCUUCUCUAAUCUUUGAAUCGUCUUUGGUUCCAAGUGCGAGUCUACGACCAUACUGGGAUGUAGAAUCUAUUUUCUAGAUUGUUAGUCAAUUGGAGGUGAAGAUGUGUACCGAUGGCUGUGUGAAGAAGCUCGGGGGACCAGGCGCGUUGGUCAGGCUGCUUAGUCCAUAGCACCCACUCAGCACGCAGUUGUAAACCAAAGAUGUGAGCCAGCUGCGUUCGUCCUGCAGCAUCAUCCGAAGGAUGACAAGGACACUCGAGCUCUGCUCUAUACUAUAGUUCCAGAUUGCUGAAUGGCAGAAAAUUUAGGUUGUCAUCGUAAUUUAUUGAUGAACACGAAUCAUCAUGCAGUAUUUUUCACCAUCGGAUAUCUACUUUGCAGGUUCUCUGUUUUGUGACCUGGUGGUAAAAGAUGAUCCAAAAGUCCCUAGAGUAGCUGUUGAUAGUGGCGCCAUCUGAGAUCAAUUGACAGGCGCGCUUUCGGUCCCUUCCGAGGUUCUGAUCAAAUAUGAAAGACGGAUGCCAACGAAGCGUUAUUGUUCGCCUCAUGUGUUGUAAAAACAGACCGUGUCCCCUAUUCAAUUAACUCUCUCCUAUCUUCGGUUUGUAAAGUGGAAUUAAUAUUAAAGAUACACGAAGGAGUUUCUACUAAUUCCUAAAUAAAUAUUCAGUAAACCUAA